CAGAAACACACAGACGCUCACUGUUGCUUCAUCUGGAGAUAAGAAGUGUGGCUCCUUCACUCAGAGUUUUCUACCAGUAGCAGUGAGUUGGGUGAUACUGUUGGUAAUCUUGGUCCUUCAUAUCUACUUUACAUCUGUCAUCUCUGAAAACAACAACAAGCUGACUGCAGAGAACCGACAACUGGAAACCAACCUGAC